rnacentral:rRNA from 1 species
UACGUAGGGUCCAAGCGUUAAUCGGAAUUACUGGGCGUAAAGCGUGUGUAGGCGGUUUCGCAAGUCCGAUGUGAAAUCCCCGGGCUUAACCUGGGAACUGCGUUGGAAACUACGAAGCUAGAGUGCGGCAGAGGGGGGUGGAAUUCCAGGGGUAGCGGUGAAAUGCGUAGAGAUCUGGAGGAACACCGAUGGCGAAGGCAGCCCCCUGGGCUAGCACUGACGCUGAUGCGCGAAAGCGUGGGGAGCCAACAGG